GCCUGGGUGGCUCAGUCGGUUAAGCAUCUGACUUUGGCUCAGGCCAUGAUCUCACGGUUCGUGGGUUUGAGCCCCACGCUGGGCU
rfam:Felis catus isolate Cinnamon breed Abyssinian chromosome C1, whole genome shotgun sequence.